GAGAGAGAGAGAGAGAGAGAGAGCCAGUUACGGUGUAGUUGCGGGCGAGAGUGCACGGACGCCGCCUCCCUCUCAUACCAUGAAUUCGUGACAGCAAAAAAGAGAGAAAGAAAAAGAAAGAUAAUUAAAGAAAGAAAAGAGAGAGAGAGGGAGAGAGAGAGACAGAGAGACAGUUUUAGAGAUAUCUCACAUUUGCUUACACGAAGAAGAGGAAGAAGAAGAAGAAGAAGAGGCAGAAGAA